rnacentral:rRNA from 1 species
UGGGGAAUUUUGGACAAUGGGCGCAAGCCUGAUCCAGCCAUGCCGCGUGAGUGAAGAAGGCCUUCGGGUUGUAAAGCUCUUUUGUCCGGGAGCAAAACCUGCAUCCUAAUACGGUGUAGGGAUGAGAGUACCGGAAGAAUAAGCACCGGCUAACUACGUGCCAGCAGCCGCGGUAAUACGUAGGGUGCGAGCGUUAAUCGGAAUUACUGGGCGUAAAGCGUGCGCAGGUGGUUGUGUAAGCCAGAUGUGAAAUCCCCGGGCUCAACCUGGGAAUGGCAUUUGGGACUGCACGGCUAGAGUGUGGCAGAGGGGGGUGGAAUUCCGCGUGUAGCAGUGAAAUGCGUAGAGAUGCGGAGGAACACCGAUGGCGAAGGCAGCCCCCUGGGCUAACACUGACACUCAUGCACGAAAGCGUGGGGAGCAAACAGGAUUAGAUACCCCCGUAGUCC